CCUACGGGUGGCAGCAGUGAGGAAUAUUGGUCAAUGGGCGCGAGCCUGAACCAGCCAAGUAGCGUGAAGGAUGAAUGCUCUACGGGUUGUAAACUUCUUUUAUAAAGGAAUACAGUGAGGCACGUGUGUCUUUUUGUCUGUACUUUAUGUAUCAGUAUCGGCUAACUUCGUGCCAGCCGCCGCGGUAAUACGGAGGAUCCGAGCGUUAUCCGGAUUUAUUGGGUUGAAAGGGAGCGUAGAUGGGUUGUUAAGUCAGUUGUGAAAGUUUGCGGCUCAACUGUAAAAUUGCAAUUGAUACUGGCAGCCUUGAGUGCAGGUGAGGUGGGCGGAAUUCGUGGUGUAGCGGUGAAAUGCUUAGAUAUCACGAAGAACUCCGAUUGCGAAGGCAGCCUACUAAACUGCCACUGACAUUGAUGCUCGAAAGUGUGGGUAGCAAACAGGAUUAGAUACCCCGGUAGUC
rnacentral:rRNA from 1 species